rnacentral:rRNA from 1 species
GUAGGUGGCAAGCGUUGUCCGGAAUUAUUGGGCGUAAAGCGCGCGCAGGCGGGUUCUUUAAGUCUGAUGUGAAAGCCCACGGGCUCAACCGUGGAGGGUCAUUGGAAACUGGAGAACUUGAGUACAGAAGAGGAAAGCGGAAUUCCACGUUUAGCGGUGAAAUGCGUAGAGAUGUGGAGGAACACCAGUGGCGAAGGCGGCUUUCUGGUCUGUAACUGACGCUGAGGCGCGAAAGCGUGGGGAGCAAACAGGAUUAGAUACCCUGGUAGUCCACGCCGUAAACGAUGAGUGCUAAGUGUUAGGGGGUUUCCGCCCCUUAGUGCUGCAGCUAACGCAUUAAGCACUCCGCCUGGGGAGUACGGCCGCAAGGCUG